rnacentral:snRNA from 1 species
UUGGAUUGUUCACCCACC